rnacentral:rRNA from 1 species
CUUGAACUUUAUAAGAGGUCCAGCCUGCCCAGUGACUCUGUUCAACGGCCGCGGUAUCCUAACCGUGCGAAGGUAGCGUAAUCACUUGUUCUUUAAAUGUGGACUAGUAUGAACGGCACUACGAGGGUUAUACUGUCUCCUUUUUCUAAUCAGUGAAACUAAUUUUCCCGUGAAGAAGCGAGAAUACAACUAUAAGACGAGAAGACCCUAUGGAGCUUUAAACAACCUAGCAAUUACUUCUUAAUAAUAAAUUUCAGAAUACUCAUUUUUUAAGCAAUAUGUCUGCAAGUUUUUGGUUGGGGUGACCAUGGAGAAUAACACAACCUCCAUAUUGAAUGAAUUUUCAUUCUAAGCUGAAAAUUACUAAUUGAAGCAUCAACACACUGACAUCUAUUGACCCA